rnacentral:rRNA from 1 species
AGAGUUUGAUCCUGGCUCAGGACGAACGCUGGCGGCGCGCCUAACACAUGCAAGUCGAACGAGCGAGAGGAGGUUUACUUUCUCAAGCGAGUGGCGAACGGGUGAGUAACGCGUGAGGAACCUGCCUCAAAGAGGGGGACAACAGUUGGAAACGACUGCUAAUACCGCAUAAGCCCACGACCCGGCAUCGGGUAGAGGGAAAAGGAGCAAUCCGCUUUGAGAUGGCCUCGCGUCCGAUUAGCUAGUUGGUGAGGUAAUGGCCCACCAAGGCGACGAUCGGUAGCCGGACUGAGAGGUUGAACGGCCACCAUUGGGACUGAGACACGGCCCAGACUCCUACGGGAGGCAGCA